rnacentral:lncRNA from 1 species
CCGAGUGCAGUUCUCCCGCAGGCCGCAGUCCACACCGUGCACUUCUCUUUCCACAGAGCAGACGAGGCAAGGACAGCCAGAAGGGCUUCACCGCUCAGAACUCUAAGCAGAUUAUCUUCCAGUCCCCUGGAGUUCAGGGUUGGAGGGAAGCUGCCUAAAGGGCUUUCUUGGUAAAGCCAGCCCUGGGCCUCCAGGACUCAGGGAUCAGAGAGGUUUUGCGAGUUAGGGGAGGAAGAAGUCAGAUGUGACAUUAUUAAGAGCCACGGCUUGCUGAGUGGGUGCUCUGACCAGCCACACGUCUGGGCUCCUCACAGCAGCUGCCUGGAUGCUACUACUGCUGCCCACAGUGCAGAGGCUUCCCUAACCCCUAACCCUAACCUUAA